rnacentral:rRNA from 1 species
GACGAACGCUGGCGGCGUGCUUAACACAUGCAAGUCGAACGGUGAAGCGCUUGCCUUUUUGGUGGGUGUGGAUGAGUGGCGAACGGGUGAGUAACACGUGAGUAACCUGCCCUCUUCUUCUGGAUAACCUCAUGAAAGUGGGGCUAAUACGGGGUAUUCCGGGUCUGUCGCAUGGCGGGUUUGGGAAAGAUUGCGCCUUUGGGUGUUUUCGGUGGGGGAUGGGCUCGCGGCCUAUCAGCUUGUUGGUGGGGUGAUGGCCUACCAAGGCGGUGACGGGUAGCCGGCCUGAGAGGGUGGACGGCCAAACUGGGACUGAGACACGGCCCAGACUCCUGCGGGAGGCAGCAGUGGGGAAUAUUGCACAAUGGGCGCAAGCCUGAUGCAGCGACGCCGCGUGAGGGAUGGAGGCCUUCGGGUUGUGAACCUCUUUCGCCAGUGAAGCAGGCCUGCUCCUGUGUGGGUGGGUUGACGGUAGCUGGACAAGAAGCGCCGGCUAACUACGUG